AUUGAACGCUGGCGGCAUGCUUUACACAUGCAAGUCGAACGGCAGCGCGGGCUUCGGCCUGGCGGCGAGUGGCGAACGGGUGAGUAAUGCAUCGGAACGUGCCCAGUAGUGGGGGAUAGCCCGGCGAAAGCCGGAUUAAUACCGCAUACGACCUGAGGGUGAAAGAGGGGGACCGAAAGGCCUCGCGCUAUUGGAGCGGCCGAUGUCGGAUUAGCUAGUUGGUGGGGUAAAGGCUUACCAAGGCGACGAUCCGUAGCUGGUCUGAGAGGAGGACCAGCCACACUGGGACUGAGACACGGCCCAGACUCCUACGGGAGGCAGGAGUGGGGAAUUUUGGACAAUGGGGGCAACCCUGAUCCAGCCAUGCCGCGUGCGGGAAGAAGGCCUUCGGGUUGUAAACCGCUUUUGUUCGGGAAGAAAUCCUCUGGGCUAAUACCCCGGGGGGAUGACGGUACCGGAAGAAUAAGCACCGGCUAACUACGUG
rnacentral:rRNA from 1 species